AUGCAUUUGAAGAUGAGCACUUGCUGGAUUACUGCUGAGUGCCAGAGCCGUCCUGGCGGGGAGGUUCUCAGGAACUUAGACAUUCAGCAUUUAGGAAGAGCAGGUUGUCUCAUUCCAGGGGCAAAGUUGGAUCUCAGAGGGCUCUCCCAAGUCCACACCCUCAGCUUAUGUGCUUCCCGUCAUCUUGUUGGGGAUAACAAGAUCAGGAUAACAACAGUGACUUAUGGGUGUCCGUGGCCACCUUCCAAGCUGUUUGUACACCUAUCAGACAUCGAAGGAUCCAGGGCUAGAGAUCCAGCAGAGGCUUCCAUCCGCGCUCAUCCAUCCUCCCAUCAGCAGGUGCUAGCAGGUGAUUGACGGACGAGGGAUGUUCUCUGGUGCGGGAGCCACAGGUAAUCCAGCGGCUUAGAAGUGUCACACGUCUGCAGUGGACCCUUCCCCUGUCUUCUGGCAAGCCUGGCUGUGCCCCUUAGGAGGGCUGCAGUGUCCAGACACACGACAGACCCAGAGCUAUUGUUUCAGAAUUCAGCCCUGUGGCAGAGAGACAGACCUAGACAGGCCUGCUGGGUGCUCACGUGUACACACUCUCCUUAUGGGGGUGCUCCCCUGAGUCCAAGAGGGAAAUGGUCUAUGUGUUCCCUAAAACUGCAAAUCAUUCCGCUUUCAUUUUGUCUUAGGACGCCGUGUGUGUCCAGAGCUGUUAACACAGUCCAAAUGCAGGAAGCAGUUCACAAGCGCUUGUGGAAACGCAUUAGCAGCUUUUCAGCGAGCUGAUUAUAGUGUUAAACAGCAGGCUUUGACAACCCUGAAAAUUGGCCCCUGUGUACAAAAAGCUCAACAUUCCCAAAGCUGUAUAAGAGGCAGAGGAGAGAAAAUUGCUGCUGGCUUAAUCAGUUAUAAACUAAAGAGAGGAGGUGUGCUUUGAGGGUUUUUUCCUAACUUGAAUAGCUAAGUGGUAACUAAUAAAGUAAGCUAAAGUGACA
rnacentral:lncRNA from 1 species